GUGAGUCAUCGAAUCUUUGAACGCACAUUGCGCCCUCUGGUAUUCCGGGGGGCAUGCCUGUUCGAGCGUCAUAACAACCCUCAAGCUCUGCUUGGUAUUAAGCUUCACCUCUUUAGGCGGGCUGUAAAAUCAGUGGCGGUGCCAUUCGGCUUCAAGCGUAGUAAUUCUUCUCGCUAAGGAGUACCGAUUGUGCAUCUGCCAGCAACCCCAAUUUUUUUCAGGUUGACCUCGGAUCAGGUAGGGAUACCCGCUGAACUUAAGCAUAUCAAUAAGCGGAGGA
rnacentral:misc_RNA from 1 species